GCUCAGGGAUAGCUCAGUUGGAAGAGCAUGAGAUUCUUUAUCUCAGGGUUGUGGGUUUGAAUCCCACACUGGACA